GUGUCCAGAUUGGCUAUCUAGCCAUAGAAUGGAGUACGAAUUCAGAUAAUAUGUACCAUGUUUAUCUACUGAUUGGUUAUAUUUUCAUGAAUUGCGUUAUUGAAUCAAAUUACCAGACCAUAAACAGAGUAUGCGCAAAGCUAUGGCGCUUUACGGUACAGCCAUACCAGCAGAAAGGGAGAGUUCGAUGUGCAUGCAACUUCCCAUUGAAAAGCUAGCUAGCAGUUAAUAACACAUAUUAGAAUGCCCCCUCCAUGAAAAUGAUUUCAGACACAUCCUGCAAAUAAUAAUCUACCUCGUGCACAGUGUGAAGUCGCUUUUGCACUGUCUCUAACAAUAACAUUGUGAAACAGUGCAUCCUAGCUAGCUAGCGUUAGCGGCAAAGCCAAAGGAAACUCCCCCGAGAAGAACAGCGCGCAACAAAAACAUGGCGGAGUCAGAGGAGGCUAAACAAAAAUCUCAGCAUGAACUCCGGCUGUCCAAGGCUUUUGAUGAGGCGGUGAAGCUCUCAGCCCCCAUGGCUGGUGAGUCCCAGAGGCAGCACACUCCCCUCUCAACCAGAUCUCUCUGGAGCAGCAUCACAACCGGACCAGUCUUUGAUGCACCAGAACCAGUCGGACGGCCUGACGUCAACCAUGAUUUUAGCAGUGAUGAUGAGGGGCAUGUAUUCCCUCACAUCUCUCACCCUACCAGUGCCACCUUCUCCCUGGCUGGUCUGGGGGUGGUCGAGCAAGAAGACGAGCUGGAUGGGGUUCCUGUGUUUGGGGUAGAUGAGGAGGAGGAGGAGGAGUGGAACAUAGCCCUGCCCAAGAUGGCAUUGGGUGAUGUGGAGUCUGACAGAGAGUCAGCCGGACGACCUGACACACAACAUGCAGAGACUCAGGAUGAUGAUCAAAAUGCGACUGACAGAUUUCUUGAUGAAGUUUCACUUUCCAAAGUUAGAACAAAUGAAGGAAGUCUGAAUCGGUCUACGGCUGGGGGAUCCAGCCGUCAAGAGAGGUCAGAGAAUGUGUUCCAGAACCCAGCGAUGGGGGACAGAGAAGAGCCCCCCAUCUCUCCCCUCAUGAACAUCAAGGAUGAGCCCAUAGAUGAAGGAUAUGACUGUGCCCUUCUACCCUCAACACGGAAUAUCAAGGAGGAACUGGACAACACAACUCCUGAGGAGGAGCUGAGAAUCAGUUCUGUCUUUUCCGUUGGAGGAGGAAACUCCUAUGGCUCUUCCACUGGUGAGAGAAUCAGCAUAUUACAGUGCCUUUAG
rnacentral:lncRNA from 13 species